CAUAAGGGAAAUGCGAUCGAGGGGAUAAAUGGCCAAGACUUUGAUGGUCGUAAUGAGGCUCAAUCCCACUGCAGCUACGAAGGAGAGGUUGGAUUCUGUGGCGGUGGGAAAAUCUUGUUUGGGGGAUCCAUUUAAUUUAUUUGUUUUUGAGGGUGCCCAAUAACCAGUUGUUUGAAGGACUUUGUUUCUCUAUAUAAUAUUUGACACUUCAAAAAUAUGAAAUUUG
rnacentral:lncRNA from 1 species